ACCUUCACCUCCUCCAACACAACGCACAACUACACCCAGCCAGCUGUCAAUCACUCUGCCCACUUCCUGUUUCCUGCUGCAGAGCCCGCCCACCAAGGAAACUACAGCUGUGUUUAUCACGUCUAUGUUUUCUCUCAUAACUUCUCCUCUGAGAGCCGUCUGCUCUCUCUCACUGUCUCAGAUCCAUCAGUUCAUCAUCAGUUCAUCAGAGAGGUCGUCGUGCUGCUGACUCUGCUGGUGGUGACCACUGCCCUCUAUUUCUACUGUAAGGCCUGCAGGGGGCAGAAGCCGGGCAGACAGGAGAACAUUGAGCUGGAUGAUUAUAACCCGGGUGUUCCUGCAGCUGGAGGAGGUCCGACUGAAGAGGAAGGAGCUCAGGGAGCAGAGUAGGACCUCCAAGGAGCUCCUCUCACAUCCACAUGGAUUUCACAGCUGACACACAGCCAUCAGCUCAGUCCAGGAUUUUACAUUUUUAU